rnacentral:rRNA from 1 species
AGAUUAAGUUAUUAAGGGCGCACGGUGGAUGCCUUGGCACUAGAAGCCGAUGAAGGACGUUACUAACGACGAUAUGCUUUGGGGAGCUGUAAGUAAGCUUUGAUCCAGAGAUUUCCGAAUGGGGAAACCCAGCAUGAGUUAUGUCAUGUUAUCGAUAUGUGAAUACAUAGCAUAUCAGAAGGCACACCCGGAGAACUGAAACAUCUUAGUACCCGGAGGAAGAGAAAGAAAAUUCGAUUCCCUUAGUAGCGGCGAGCGAAACGGGAAGAGCCCAAACCAACAAGCUUGCUUGUUGGGGUUGUAGGACACUCUAUACGGAGUUACAAAGGACGACAUUAGACGAAUCAUCUGGAAAGAUGAAUCAAAGAAGGUAAUAAUCCUGUAGUCGAAAAUGUUGUCUCUCUUGAGUGGAUCCUGAGUACGACGGAGCACGUGAAAUUCCGUCGGAAUCUGGGAGGACCAUCUCCUAAGGCUAAAUACUCUCUAGUGACCGAUAGUGAACCAGUACCGUGAGGGAAAGGUGAAAAGCACCCCGGAAGGGGAGUGAAAUAGAACCUGAAACCGUGUGCUUACAAGUAGUCAGAGCCCGUUAAUGGGUGAUGGCGUGCCUUUUGUAGAAUGAACCGGCGAGUUACGAUUUGAUGCAAGGUUAAGCAGUAAAUGUGGAGCCGUAGCGAAAGCGAGUCUGAAUAGGGCGUUUAGUAUUUGGUCGUAGACCCGAAACCAGGUGAUCUACCCUUGGUCAGGUUGAAGUUCAGGUAACACUGAAUGGAGGACCGAACCGACUUACGUUGAAAAGUGAGCGGAUGAACUGAGGGUAGCGGAGAAAUUCCAAUCGAACCUGGAGAUAGCUGGUUCUCUCCGAAAUAGCUUUAGGGCUAGCCUCAAGUGAUGAUUAUUGGAGGUAGAGCACUGUUUGGACGAGGGGCCCCUCUCGGGUUACCGAAUUCAGACAAACUCCGAAUGCCAAUUAAUUUAACUUGGGAGUCAGAACAUGGGUGAUAAGGUCCGUGUUCGAAAGGGAAACAGCCCAGACCACCAGCUAAGGUCCCAAAAUAUAUGUUAAGUGGAAAAGGAUGUGGCGUUGCCCAGACAACUAGGAUGUUGGCUUAGAAGCAGCCAUCAUUUAAAGAGUGCGUAAUAGCUCACUAGUCGAGUGACACUGCGCCGAAAAUGUACCGGGGCUAAACAUAUUACCGAAGCUGUGGAUUGUCCUUUGGACAAUGGUAGGAGAGCGUUCUAAGGGCGUUGAAGCAUGAUCGUAAGGACAUGUGGAGCGCUUAGAAGUGAGAAUGCCGGUGUGAGUAGCGAAAGACGGGUGAGAAUCCCGUCCACCGAUUGACUAAGGUUUCCAGAGGAAGGCUCGUCCGCUCUGGGUUAGUCGGGUCCUAAGCUGAGGCCGACAGGCGUAGGCGAUGGAUAACAGGUUGAUAUUCCUGUACCACCUAUAAUCGUUUUAAUCGAUGGGGGGACGCAGUAGGAUAGGCGAAGCGUGCGAUUGGAUUGCACGUCUAAGCAGUAAGGCUGAGUAUUAGGCAAAUCCGGUACUCGUUAAGGCUGAGCUGUGAUGGGGAGAAGACAUUGUGUCUUCGAGUCGUUGAUUUCACACUGCCGAGAAAAGCCUCUAGAUAGAAAAUAGGUGCCCGUACCGCAAACCGACACAGGUAGUCAAGAUGAGAAUUCUAAGGUGAGCGAGCGAACUCUCGUUAAGGAACUCGGCAAAAUGACCCCGUAACUUCGGGAGAAGGGGUGCUCUUUAGGGUUAACGCCCAGAAGAGCCGCAGUGAAUAGGCCCAAGCGACUGUUUAUCAAAAACACAGGUCUCUGCUAAACCGUAAGGUGAUGUAUAGGGGCUGACGCCUGCCCGGUGCUGGAAGGUUAAGAGGAGUGGUUAGCUUCUGCGAAGCUACGAAUCGAAGCCCCAGUAAACGGCGGCCGUAACUAUAACGGUCCUAAGGUAGCGAAAUUCCUUGUCGGGUAAGUUCCGACCCGCACGAAAGGCGUAACGAUUUGGGCACUGUCUCAACGAGAGACUCGGUGAAAUCAUAGUACCUGUGAAGAUGCAGGUUACCCGCGACAGGACGGAAAGACCCCGUGGAGCUUUACUGUAGCCUGAUAUUGAAAUUCGGCACAGCUUGUACAGGAUAGGUAGGAGCCUUUGAAACGUGAGCGCUAGCUUACGUGGAGGCGCUGGUGGGAUACUACCCUAGCUGUGUUGGCUUUCUAACCCGCACCACUUAUCGUGGUGGGAGACAGUGUCAGGCGGGCAGUUUGACUGGGGCGGUCGCCUCCUAAAAGGUAACGGAGGCGCUCAAAGGUUCCCUCAGAAUGGUUGGAAAUCAUUCAUAGAGUGUAAAGGCAUAAGGGAGCUUGACUGCGAGACCUAC